AGCCCAGCACUGAAUCCCGCCGUUGUCACGGCGGCGGGAGAUGUGGUGUUCGGGAGGUUCCGCUUUCUCGUCGUUGUCUCCUCCUGUCCAAGUUCGUCUUGAACGGGGCCGUUUUCCCGUAGAGGGUGCCAGGCCCGUAGCGACGGAGGACGGCGGCGAGAGGGACUCUCCUCAGAGUCGGGUUGCUUGAGAGUGCAGCCCUAAGUGGGUGGUAAACUCCAUCUAAGGCUAAAUAUUACCGCGAGACCGAUAGCGAACAAGUACCGU
rnacentral:rRNA from 1 species